CGACGGGUGAGUAACGCGUGGAAAACCUGCCGUAUACUGGGGGAUAACACUUAGAAAUAGGUGCUAAUACCGCAUAAGCGCACAGCUUCGCAUGAAGCGGUGUGAAAAACUCUGGUGGUAUACGAUGGUUCCGCGUCUGAUUAGCUAGUUGGUGGGGUAAUGGCCUACCAAGGCAACGAUCAGUAGCCGGCCUGAGAGGGUGAGCGGCCACAUUGGGACUGAGACACGGCCCAAACUCCUACGGAAGGCAGCAG
rnacentral:rRNA from 1 species